rnacentral:rRNA from 1 species
CAAGGCAACGAUCCGUAGCCGGCCUGAGAGGGCGGUCGGCCACACUGACACUGACAUACGGGUCAGACUCCUACGGGAGGCAGCAGUCGGGAAUUUUGGGCAAUGGGCGAAAGCCUGACCCAGCAACGCCGCGUGAAGGAUGAAAUCCCUCGGGAUGUAAACUUCGCAAGAACGGGAAGAAUAAGUAGGGGACAAUACCCCCUAUGAUGACGGUACCGUUUGUAAGCUCCGGCUAACUCCGUGCCAGCAGCCGCGGUAAUACGGGGGGAGCAAGCGUUGUUCGGAUUUACUGGGCGUAAAGGGCGCGUAGGCGGCCAGUGCAAGUCAGUUGUGAAAUCUCCGAGCUUAACUCGGAAAGGUCAACUGAUACUGCUCGGCUAGAGUGCGGAAGGGGCAACUGGAAUUCUUGGUGUAGCGGUGAAAUGCGUAGAUAUCAAGAGGAACACCUGCGGCGAAGGCGGGUUGCUGGGCCGACACUGACGCUGAGGCGCGAAAGCUAGGGGAGCGAACGGGAUUAGAUACCCCGGUAGUCCUAGCCUUAAACGAUGAAUGCUUGGUGUCUGGGGUUAUAUAGUCCCCGGGUGCCGUCGCUAACGCUUUAAGCAUUCCGCCUGGGGAGUACGGUCGCAAGACUGAAACUCAAAGGAAUUGACGGAAUCGAAUU